rnacentral:rRNA from 1 species
GACGAACGCUGGCGGCGUGCUUAACACAUGCAAGUCGAGCGGGGAACUGUGGAAUGAAGCUUCGGCAGAAUGAAACAGUUUCUAGCGGCGGACGGGUGAGUAACGCGUGAGCAAUCUGUCCCAGACAGGGGGAUAACAGAUGGAAACAUCUGCUAAUACCGCAUAAGACCACGAGGUCGCAUGGCCUUGAGGUAAAAGAUUUAUCGGUCUGGGGUGAGCUCGCGUCCCAUUAGCUAGUUGGUGAGGUAACGGCCCACCAAGGCGACGAUGGGUAGCCGACCUGAGAGGGUGAUCGGCCACAUUGGAACUGAGACACGGUCCAGACUCCUACGGGAGCAGCAGUGGGGAAUAUUGGGCAAUGGGCGCAAGCCUGACCCAGCAACGCCGCGUGAAGGAAGAAGGUUUUCGGAUUGUAAACUUCUGUCCUUGGUNACGAAGGAAGUGACGGUAGCCAAGGAGGAAGCCCCGGCUAACUACGUG